rnacentral:rRNA from 3 species
UUUAUGGAGAGUUUGAUCCUGGCUCAGGAUGAACGCUGGCGGCGUGCCUAAUACAUGCAAGUCGAGCGAACGGACGAGAAGCUUGCUUCUCUGAUGUUAGCGGCGGACGGGUGAGUAACACGUGGAUAACCUACCUAUAAGACUGGGAUAACUUCGGGAAACCGGAGCUAAUACCGGAUAAUAUUUUGAACCGCAUGGUUCAAAAGUGAAAGACGGUCUUGCUGUCACUUAUAGAUGGAUCCGCGCUGCAUUAGCUAGUUGGUAAGGUAACGGCUUACCAAGGCAACGAUGCAUAGCCGACCUGAGAGGGUGAUCGGCCACACUGGAACUGAGACACGGUCCAGACUCCUACGGGAGGCAGCAGUAGGGAAUCUUCCGCAAUGGGCGAAAGCCUGACGGAGCAACGCCGCGUGAGUGAUGAAGGUCUUCGGAUCGUAAAACUCUGUUAUUAGGGAAGAACAUAUGUGUAAGUAACUGUGCACAUCUUGACGGUACCUAAUCAGAAAGCCACGGCUAACUACGUGCCAGCAGCCGCGGUAAUACGUAGGUGGCAAGCGUUAUCCGGAAUUAUUGGGCGUAAAGCGCGCGUAGGCGGUUUUUUAAGUCUGAUGUGAAAGCCCACGGCUCAACCGUGGAGGGUCAUUGGAAACUGGAAAACUUGAGUGCAGAAGAGGAAAGUGGAAUUCCAUGUGUAGCGGUGAAAUGCGCAGAGAUAUGGAGGAACACCAGUGGCGAAGGCGACUUUCUGGUCUGUAACUGACGCUGAUGUGCGAAAGCGUGGGGAUCAAACAGGAUUAGAUACCCUGGUAGUCCACGCCGUAAACGAUGAGUGCUAAGUGUUAGGGGGUUUCCGCCCCUUAGUGCUGCAGCUAACGCAUUAAGCACUCCGCCUGGGGAGUACGACCGCAAGGUUGAAACUCAAAGGAAUUGACGGGGACCCGCACAAGCGGUGGAGCAUGUGGUUUAAUUCGAAGCAACGCGAAGAACCUUACCAAAUCUUGACAUCCUUUGACAACUCUAGAGAUAGAGCCUUCCCCUUCGGGGGACAAAGUGACAGGUGGUGCAUGGUUGUCGUCAGCUCGUGUCGUGAGAUGUUGGGUUAAGUCCCGCAACGAGCGCAACCCUUAAGCUUAGUUGCCAUCAUUAAGUUGGGCACUCUAAGUUGACUGCCGGUGACAAACCGGAGGAAGGUGGGGAUGACGUCAAAUCAUCAUGCCCCUUAUGAUUUGGGCUACACACGUGCUACAAUGGACAAUACAAAGGGCAGCAAAACCGCGAGGUCAAGCAAAUCCCAUAAAGUUGUUCUCAGUUCGGAUUGUAGUCUGCAACUCGACUACAUGAAGCUGGAAUCGCUAGUAAUCGUAGAUCAGCAUGCUACGGUGAAUACGUUCCCGGGUCUUGUACACACCGCCCGUCACACCACGAGAGUUUGUAACACCCGAAGCCGGUGGAGUAACCUUUUAGGAGCUAGCCGUCGAAGGUGGGACAAAUGAUUGGGGUGAAGUCGUAACAAGGUAGCCGUAUCGGAAGGUGCGGCUGGAUCACCUCCUUU